AAAUGUGAACGUCCCAGUCCCGUGUUUGCAGUAAAUGGGGAAUUGCCUCAGCGGCUGCAGGCCUGAGUGAGCGCCGCCAUCUUUAUUCGGGACAACGAUUCACUGGACACGUGCGGAGCCGCCAUCUUUGUAGGGGGCAAGGUGCAGCCAGGCGCAUGUGCAGCCUCUCUCUGGUACAGAGUCAUUGUGAUGACAGCAGCCAAUCCUGCUCUGAUUCACCUCUGGGCUCCCUCAGGACCACUUUGUCAAUGUCCAGCUUCCUCAGUCUCCAACCAUGGGGAUCCCAGUGAUUAAUGCCAAAGCCCUGUUGCCUGGGGAGAGGGUGAUGUUUGACUUUCUUGUACAGCUGCAGUUUGUGUGGUGAAGGUGCUCCCACAAUGUGGUUGGAUCCCAGUGAUUAAUGCCAAAGCCCCAUUGCCUGGGGAGAGGGUGAUGUUUGACUUCCUUGUACAGCUGCAGUUUGUGUGGUGAAGGUGCUCCCACAAUGUGGUUGGGUGGACAUUCAGAUGGUAACCUCAGUAUUUGUAACACCAAACUCUGACAGAAUUACUCAAUUCAUCAGGACCUGGAUAUUUGCAUUUAGUUGGUACUGAAAGGGUGGAUUUGUGAAUGAGAAAUUCAAAUUGAGCUUCAUGUUCAGACCUGAUGGUUACUGGAUCCGUGCCGACCUGAAUAUCAUUGGCCUUUUCAUCUGGAAGGAAAGGGUACUAGAUCGUGAAGGUUUGCAGACUGAAAUCUCAAACUCGUGCAGAUUGUGAUUAAGUUAACCAGCAUUUGAAGAACCAAAGAUGGAGAAUGACUCGGCCAAAAUCCAGCAACCCUGU